GGGGCAUGAUGAGGAUAAUCCUGUAUUUGUCCGAUUAAUUUCGUGAUUGGAAUUACAAACCUCCUACUCAUUCUGA
rfam:Prunus persica cultivar Lovell chromosome G1, whole genome shotgun sequence.